rnacentral:rRNA from 1 species
UUUAAAUUGAGAGUUUGAUCCUGGCUCAGGAUGAACGCUGGCGGCGUGCUUAACACAUGCAAGUCGAGCGAGGGAGCACCUUCGGGUGUGAACUAGCGGCGGACGGGUGAGUAACACGUGGGCAACCUGCCUUACAGAGGGGGAUAGCCUUCCG